UCAAUACUCUUCUUCACCUUCUCACCAGAAACAAAUAAGUAAUUUUCAGGAAAGAAAUACUUUGCCAGCUCUGCAGUUAGUGAGAUUUGUUUCUCUCUUAAAAUUUGAGAGUGAAAUUGACGAAAAUCCCUGCAUAAGAGAUGGAGAUGGCCUCCACUUGCAGCAUCGAUCGGAUCUUACUUGAUCUAGAGUCGCUCCUGAACAGCUUCCAAGACCGGUAUGUUCCUGACGGUGUUCUUGGUGCAAUCGAACGCAUGAAAUUUCUCAAAACAUUUGUUAUGUGUGCAAGAAAGUGGAGCCAAAGCAAUGAUCUGUACUUGGAAUCUGACAAUGUUGUGAAGAAGGUGAGUCUUCCAUCUUUCUUAUCUUGCAUCGAAGAUACCUUUCACAAAUAUGAGGAGGAUAUUCACUCUCUUUCCCAUACAUCAGAAACGGACGAAUAUGGAAUGUUCUUGGAAAUUGAGGAACAGAUCAAAUUACUUAAGCAAGAAAUCAUCCAAAUUUACUUUGCUUUGGCAAGCAGCAGGUCAUUGCAAUCAAAUUCUUGUAUGACAGAUGAUGAACUGUUGGAAUUCAUAGACCUCAUCCAACAAAAUCUAGCAGAUUUGACAAAUGGCUAUAUGCAUCCGCAAAUUAGUGAAUCGUUUGUUUCUGCUAUUUUGAGUGCUCAAGUCCAAGCCCUUGAAGCAAAGCUAACAAUCUUGAAAAGCGUCAUUCCCUUUGUCAAAUUGCGAGGAACUGCAGAUAUUCCUACCUCGCUAUUGGCUCACUUUGAAGUGGUGGCUUUGAACGCAGCACGCCUCUCUUACAUGUGUUCUUUUUGGGAAGAUGAGGAUCUGCACAAUCUUGAGUUGUGCUGCAUGAUAUAUGAGCAACAACAGAAAAUCACACCUAUAGAUUUUCAAGUCUAUGAGAUUUUUAUGGAAGUUCUUAGAGCUACAAGAUCCUCCAAAUCAUUGCAUGAUAGAAUGAUGGAUAAGCAGAUAUUAAACAACUUCAAUGAUUCUCUCAUAAGUUGUCUCUGGGAGCUGUUAUGCUGCAGCUCUAGCUUUAUGGAUGCUAUGAAAGAUGAAAUGCGAAUACUCUAUGCAGGACUGAGGUUUUUGAGAAGCAUUUUAAGGGAGCAGCAGAAGAAGAUGGAUGAGCAAAACAAAAAAAUUGGUUCUCUUCUUAGUGAGGCAGGCAUUAUAAUUUACUCGCAUUCUCUAAACAGAGUGAAGGAGGGAGAAGUCAGCUUCUCAGAAUCCACAGAGGCUCUUGACUGUUAUGAUGUGCUGGCUAAUACCAACAUCCAUAUCAAGCAUUUUAAGGAUCAGAUCAGUGGCUCAAGCAUUAUUGAAAGUAUUCCUUCCUUUCAUAGCUUAAAAGCACCAGAAGUUAGCAAGACUUCCCACCGCAUGCUAUCAAAAGGUCAAAUGCCAAUAGCCCAUGAAGUCAUGGUUGGUCUUGAUGAUGAUGCAGCAAAAGUAAUUGAACGACUUAUAUGGGGAGGGGAUCAGGUGGAAAUUGUUCCCAUUGUGGGAAUGGCUGGGCUUGGUAAGACGACUUUAGCCAAAAAAGUUUACAAUGAUAGUUCAGUAAUCUGUAACUUCCACAUUCGUCUUUGGUGUACUGUUUCUCAAGCCUAUAACAUGAAAAAUGUGUUACUUCAAAUUUUGUGCUCUGAUGGCAAACAUUCCAGGAAGGAUGAUGAGUUAAAAAAUCUGGAUGAACAUGCGUUGCUGGAAAAGCUCUACAAAAAGCUAAAGGAGAAUCGGUAUCUUGUUGUUUUUGAUGAUGUCUGGGACAUUAAGGUAUGGAAUGAGCUGGGAAUUUCAUUGCCGGAUGAUAAGAAAGGAAGUAGAAUCAUCUUCACGAGUCGAUCUUCUAAUGUGGCUUCACAGGUUGAAUAUGGGGGGAAACCUCACUAUCUUCACCCGCUUAGUGAGAAAGAAAGUUUUGAAUUACUGCAGAAGAAGGUAUUUGGAGAAGAAGAUUGUCCUCAAGCAUUGCAUGGAUUGGGAAUGGAGAUUGCCAAAAAGUGCAGGGGAUUGCCACUUGCACUUGUUGUUGUAGCUGGAGUCCUAGCAACUAUAGAGCAUGAUAUUUGUGUUUGGGAAGGAUUUGCUGAAAGUUUCACUUCAACCACAGUGGCUGAUGCAGAACAAUGCAAAAAGUCGAUGGAGCUCAGUUAUGAGCAUUUACCAUAUCACUUGAAGGCAUGCUUGCUGUAUUUUGCUGCAUUUCGAGAGGAUGAAAAAAUUGGUGCCAAGGAGUUGAUGUGUCUCUGGGUUGCAGAAGGGUUUGUGGAAAUAAUUGAAGGAAAGAGAUCAGAGGAUAUUGCAGAAGAAUAUCUGAUGGACCUGAUUGGCCGAAACUUAGUUAUGGUAAGUGAAAACAGAUCCAUUGGUGGAGUCAAAACUUGUUACGUUCACGAUUUGAUAUUUGAGUUCUGUAAGGGCGAGGCGAAAGAAAAGAAAUUUCUUCAGGUCUUGCGAGGAUAUGAUGAGCUUUCUAUCUUUAAUCAGCCUCCCAACCUACCUCGGUUGUCCAUUUGCUCCAAUGGAGAGGAUUUUAUAAAGUCAAAGCUCUUUUGUCCACAUUUAGAUACUCUGCUAUUCCAUGAUGCUACUCUAGGAGAUAAGUUUGAGUUGCGUGACAUCUCCUUCCUUUUUUGCAUCUACAAACAUCUUAAAGUUUUGAAUUUAGAGGGCAUUAUCCUAAGGCUGAAGGAGCUUCCAGCUGAAGUCGAAUCACUUCUUUGUUUGAGGUACUUAGCCCUUAGAGCUCUGUUCAUGGAAUUCAUUCCACCAUCUAUAGCCAAGCUCUCACAUUUGGAAACCUUCAGUCUAAAUUCUUUUGAGGCGGUUUCAUUGCCAGAUAGCAUCUGGAACAUGGAGAAGUUGAGGCAUGUACAUGUAAGGCCUGGCGUCGUUAUUCCUCUCUCCUCCGAUGACAGCGGUGUUGAAAACCUCUCUAAUUUAGAGACACUCUCUGCUCUGUUUCUUUAUCUUGACGAAGAGGGAGAGAACUUGUUGAGAAGGAUUCCCAACGUUCGCCGACUUAAAAUUUUCGAUUUGGGGGAACAAAACAGAGUAUGCUGCAACAUGAGUCGACUAGCAUGCCUAGAAUCACUCGCCUGGUUGGGCAGUUACUCCUCAGGUUCAUGGGAGCAUGUUGAGCUUUCUUUUCCCAUGAAUUUGAAGAAGUUGAGCCUUAGCGGUCUGGCUCUUCCCUGUAGAAAAAUGUCAUUGAUGGAACAACUACCCAAUCUUGAAGUCCUCAAAUUACGAGCCCAGUCGACGGAGGGCCAAAAAUGGGAGCUGAUGGAAGGAGGAUUCCCUAAACUCAGGGUCUUGACUUUGGAAUAUGUACAGAUUGUCGAGUGGAUAGAGACAGACCCUGACAGUGAUGAUUACUUCCCGUGCCUUCAGCAAUUAAAACUCCGGAGCAUUUCUAAAUUGGAAAUGAUGCCUUCUUGUUUAGGGCGUAUAUCUACUCUUGAGACCAUUAAAAUGAAUGAGUGUGGAGAUGGCGUCAAAUCUUUAGUAAGGGAAAUUGAAGAAGCACAGGAAUAUAACGGAAAUGAGAAUCUGAAGAUCAUCAUCAUAGAUUGAAGGGCAUCAGCUGGUGCAAUAUCUGGGAGUGUGAUUGUCAUCUGUGUGGUCUGGCUUUCUUUGGUGCUUUUGUGGAAGAUUGAGGUGAAAAUUGAAAGGAUCGAUGGCUCUUUUCUUGUCAAAAUAUGGUGGAAACGACCAAUGAGUUGCAAAUUUGACAAAGAUCCACCAUUGAAGGUUAGUGGCCGGUAGUGACAAAGAUCCACUUCGACUGCUGCUGCCAUGGUUGCCAUAUUCAAGCUUUCAGAAAGUUAGAGAUGAAGAAGAUUAAAAAAAAAGGAAGGAAUUAUGAUUUUGUUAGAGUAUAAAAUUAUAUCUGGGUGUUUGAAAAUUCGUUCCUAUUGUAAAAUACAAUACAGGCACUAGUCCAACUAAUAAUGCUUAUGGUUAUCUUGUCUUUUCACCAAUUCCAUCUA